CCUACGGGAGGCAGCAGUGAGGAAUAUUGGUCAAUGGACGCAAGUCUGAACCAGCCAUGCCGCGUGCAGGAAGACGGCUCUAUGAGUUGUAAACUGCUUUUGUACGAGGGUAAACGCAGAUACGCGUAUCUGUCUGAAAGUAUCGUACGAAUAAGGAUCGGCUAACUCCGUGCCAGCAGCCGCGGUAAUACGGAGGAUUCCAGCGUUAUCCGGAUUUAUUGGGUUUAAAGGGUGCGUAGGCGGUCGGUUAAGUUAGAGGUGAAAUCCCGAGGCUCAACUUCGGCAUUGCCUCUGAUACUGUUUGGCUAGAGAGUAGUUGAGGUAGGCGGAAUGUAUGGUGUAGCGGUGAAAUGCUUAGAGAUCAUACAGAACACCGAUUGCGAAGGCAGCUUACCAAGGUACUUCUGACGUUGAGGCACGAAAGCGUGGGGAGCAAACAGGAUUAGAUACCCCAGUAGUC
rnacentral:rRNA from 1 species